AGCAGCCGCGGUAAUUCCAGCUCCAAUAGCGUAUAUUAAAGUUGUUGCAGUUAAAAAGCUCGUAGUUGAAUUUCGGGAUCAAUAUGUCGGUCGUGCCUUGGUACGUACUGGUAUCAUUGGUCUCUCCCUUCUGACGAACCAUGAUGUCAUUAAUUUGGUGUUAUGGGGAAGUUAGGACUGUUACUUUGAAAAAAUUAGAGUGUUUAAAGCAAGCUAACGCUUGAAUACAUUAGCAUGGAAUAAUGAAAUAGGACGUUUGAUCCUAUUUUAUUGGUUUCUAGGAUCGACGUAAUGAUUAAUAGGGAUAGUUGGGGGCAUUAGUAUUCAAUUGUCAGAGGUGAAAUUCUUGGAUUUAUUGAAGACUAACUACUGC
rnacentral:rRNA from 1 species